rnacentral:sRNA from 1 species
UUCAUAUUGCCACGGUACGGAUCCUCCAU